GCUGGCGUAGCUCAAUGGUAGAGCACCUGUUUUGUAAACAGGUGGUUAGGGGUUCAAGUCCCCUCGUCAGCU
rnacentral:tRNA from 1 species